UUAGGACUCUCUAAGUCUUAACCUAGUAAGGACUCUCUUAAGUCCUAACUGCAUUAAAACUCUCUUAAGUCCUAACCUAGUUAGGACUCCACCCCUUCCAUAACGAUAAAAGGAGGAGAGCCCCAUCCAAAGCAUCCCCCAAAGCAACCAAGAAGCCAUCAGUAAAGAGCCCAGUCAGCCCUAGUUUUUCCUGCCUUAGAGCAGUGAAGAACAGCGAGAAGAGAAGGGAAGAAUUCUAUGCAGUGCAGCCAGUUCCUCUCAGCCGUAGCCUUCUUCUGCAAGUUCCAGCAGCCCAAAGCUCCACCCCAAAGCUUCAUACAGCUGCUGUGAGAAGUCCUCAAUGCCUUCUGUCUACUGUUUAAACCUCAGGAGGAGGUUCCUGCAGUGAAGAGGUGAGACCAAAAACGACAGUGACCGCAACCUACCGGGGGUGCUGUCUAAAGACAACCUGCAUUCUCACGCACCCAUAAACUUACUAUCACGUUUUUUAUUCCAUUGUUUCAAGCCUCGUAGUUAGUACUUUGACUUUACAAACAAUAGAGGUUGUUUUCUUUCAGUUUUUACGCUUGGUCUUUUUACCAUAGUUCUCUCCCUCGCCAAACUUCCAUUUGAAAGUAUCGAGUCGACAGAUUGUCGAACCCAAACCCCAUACGGAUCGAUCCAUAGCUUGCUCUACUAAAGGCAACUUGACAUUUCCCUGAAUUCCUCAGCCCUUUUUCCUAUGCUUCUAAUGUUGGGGCCAACCCAAAGUAAUUUUUGACCUGGCAUGCUCAUAAAGAAGUGUUGAUUUUUGAAGGGAAGAGAGAUGUAGCCUGAAAAGAAGUGAUAGAUCGUCAAGGUUGAGAAUCAAUGAUGUCUGUUAUUUAUGACUAGAAACUCGGCAAAUACACCAACUGAACUACAUUUCUAUUUAGUGUAAGCUUUGAUAAAUCUAUAUAGUUUUGGUUAUAGAUCAUAGUUAUAGAUCAAAAAGGCUCUGUCGUGGUUUGUUAAAUUUGUUGGUUAGAUGUCAAUGUGUGACAUCAAAACUCUUAAAGAUUGUGCCAAAUUUGUACUUUUGCAAAUUCUAGGCAGGAAGGUGACUCAUGUGAAUAUGUAUGACCACAAAUACAAACGAAAGAAGAAAAACCCCGAAGGAGAACAAAUUGUUAAUGUGUAAUUCAAUCUGGAUAUUAGACUCAUUUAAGUUCCUUUUACCUUCUUUUAAUGAUCCUAAAGCAAGAAAACAAUUUACUUGAAUUGACGGAUUUUUCAAAGAUAGGAAGAGGUAUUAGGUGGUCCUUCAUUUUUAGUAGUAGGAAAAUUCAUAACUAAUUACCAUUAUAAAUUCUGCUUCACAUCCUUCAUGAUUCAAUACAUAGUAAUCCAUAUUCUGAUACAUAUUCUUCAGUCACUAAUAUAAAAAUC
rnacentral:lncRNA from 1 species